AACGCGAAAGCCUCCUUCGGGGGGCAAGUAGAGUGGCGCACGGGUGAGUAACACGUAGGUAAUCUACCUUUGGAUUGGGAAUAACCAUCGGAAACGGUGGCUAAUGCCGAAUAAUGCAGCGGCACCUAAUGGUGACAGUUGUUAAAGCGGGGGAUCGCAAGACCUCGCGUCUAAAGAGGAGCCUGCGGCAGAUUAGCUAGUUGGUAAGGUAACGGCUUACCAAGGCGAUGAUCUGUAGCCGGCCUGAGAGGGCGGUCGGCCACACUGACACUGACAUACGGGUCAGACUCCUACGGGAGGCAGCAGUCGGGAAUUUUGGGCAAUGGGCGAAAGCCUGACCCAGCAACGCCGCGUGAAGGAUGAAAUCCUUCGGGAUGUAAACUUCGCAAGAACGGGAAGAAUAAGUAAGAGUUAAUAUCUCUUACGAUGACGGUACUGUUUGUAAGCUCCGGCUAACUCCGUGCCAGCAGCCGCGGUAAUACGGGGGGAGCAAGCGUUGUUCGGAUUUACUGGGCGUAAAGGGCGCGUAGGCGGCCACCGCAAGUCGACUGUGAAAUCUCCGGGCUUAACCCGGAAAGGUCAGCCGAUACUGCGGGGCUAGAGUGCAGAAGGGGCAACUGGAAUUCACGGUGUAGCGGUGAAAUGCCUAGAUAUCGAGAGGAACACCUGCGGCGAAGCGGGUUGCUGGGCUGACACUGACGCUGAGGCGCGAAAGCUAGGGGAGCGAACGGGAUUAGAU
rnacentral:rRNA from 1 species